AAAUUUCUCAUUUACAGAAACUCACUGUUUAGUGAAUAUGUCCCUAUGUUCGCCUCUGGAUAACAUACUGUUGUGUGUCCUUGGCAGACUCCCGGCUAGCACAAUUUGCUUUUGGAAUAGGAUGCAACUACUGAGCAAACCUUAAUCAUUUCGAUUCAUUUAUAAUUCCUGUCUGAUCCUUACCAUUAAAACAAACGACAUUUUAUAAUCUCUAGCAUAAUCAGAUAUUUCCAAUUUAAAAUCAAGAACAGGAAAAAGAUGUCAAACAAAUCUUUUUCUAUUAACCUUUUCUUAGUAUGUAUGGGUCAAUAUUUACCACCACAAUUCUUACACCAACAAGAACCUUUUAAACCCUGUAUUUUCUUCCUCAUCAUGUCCGACAACUAUAAAGCAAACUUCAAAGAGUGUAUUCUUCCAUUUCAUGUAUUACUUCUUAACAAAGAUAACACCUGGGUUGUUUUAAAGUGUGGAAUGUGUCAACUAUCUACCAAUUUGUUCCAAGUGUAAACAGAUCGGAUUUCAAUCAAACUGGUAAAAUCAAUUUUUAGUAUACAAU